GAAAACAUAGAUCAAUAGAAUAGAAUAGAGUGCCUAGCAAUAAACUCACGCAUAUAUGGUCAAAUGAAUUUAUAACAAGGGAGCCAAGAAUAAACCAUGGGGAAGAGACA